rnacentral:rRNA from 1 species
UACGUAGGGUGCAAGCGUUGUCCGGAAUUAUUGGGCGUAAAGAGCUCGUAGGCGGUUCGUCGCGUCGGCUGUGAAAACCCGGAGCUCAACUCCGGGCCUGCAGUCGAUACGGGCGGACUAGAGUUCGGCAGGGGAGACUGGAAUUCCUGGUGUAGCGGUGAAAUGCGCAGAUAUCAGGAGGAACACCGGUGGCGAAGGCGGGUCGCUGGGCCGAUACUGACGCUGAGGAGCGAAAGCGUGGGGAGCGAACAGG